CGCGGGGUGGAGCAGUUGGCAGCUCGUCGGGCUCAUAACCCGAAGGUCACAGGUUCAAGUCCUGUCCCCGCAACCA
rnacentral:tRNA from 5 species